UACGUAGGGUGCAAGCGUUGUCCGGAAUUCUUGGGCGUAAAGAGCUCGUAGGCGGUCUGUUGCGUCCGCUGUGAAAACUCGGGGCUUAACCCCGAGCCUGCAGUGGAUACGGGCAGACUAGAGGUAGGUAGGGGAGAAUGGAAUUCCUGGUGUAGCGGUGAAAUGCGCAGAUAUCAGGAAGAACACCAAUGGCGAAAGCAGCUCUCUGGGACGGUACUGACGCUGAGACGCGAAAGCGUGGGGAGCGAACAGG
rnacentral:rRNA from 1 species